rnacentral:rRNA from 1 species
CCUACGGGGGGCAGCAGUGAGGAAUAUUGGUCAAUGGGCGCGAGCCUGAACCAGCCAAGUCGCGUGAGGGAUGACGGUCCUACGGAUUGUAAACCUCUUUUGCCGGGGAGCAAGCGUUCGUUCGUGAACGCGCGUCGAGAGUACCCGGAGAAAAAGCAUCGACUAACUCCGUGCCAGCAGCCGCGGUAAUACGGAGGAUGCGAGCGUUAUCCGGAUUUAUGGGGUUUAAGGGGUGCGUAGGCGUGAUGCCAAGUCAGCGGUAAAAAUGCGGUGCUCAACGCCGUCGAGCCGUUGAAACUGGUGUUCUUGAGUUGGCGAGAAGUAUGCGGAAUGCGUGGUGUAGCGGUGAAAUGCAUAGAUAUCACGCAGAACUCCGAUUGCGAAGGCAGCAUACCGGCGCCCUACUGACGCUGAGGCACGAAAGCGUGGGUAUCGAACAGGAUUAGAUACCCCUGUAGUC